GAUGAACGCUGGCGGCGUGCCUAAUACAUGCAAGUCGAGCGAACAGACGAGGAGCUUGCUCCUCUGACGUUAGCGGCGGACGGGUGAGUAACACGUGGAUAACCUACCUAUAAGACUGGGAUAAAUUCGGGAAACCGGAGCUAAUACCGGAUAAUAUAUUGAACCGCAUGGUUCAAUAGUGAAAGACGGUUUUGCUGUCACUUAUAGAUGGAUCCGCGCCGCAUUAGCUAGUUGGUAAGGUAACGGCUUACCAAGGCAACGAUGCGUAGCAGCCCUGAGAGGGUGAUCGCCCACACUGGAACUGAGACACGGUCCAGACUCCUACGGGAGACAGCAGUAGGGAAUCCUCCGCAAUGGGCGAAAGCCUGACGGAGCAACGCCGCGUGAGUGAUGAAGGUCUUAAGAUCGUAAAACUCUGUUAUUAGGGAAGAACAAAUGUGUAAGUAACUAUGCACGUCUUGACGGUACCUAAACAGAAAGCCACGGCUAACUACGUG
rnacentral:rRNA from 1 species